ACCCGCUGAAUUUAAGCAUAUAAUUAAGCGGAGGAAAAGAAACUAACCAGGAUUCCCUCAGUAAGGGCGACUGAAGCGGGAAGAGCCCAUGCUGCCAAUCCCUUCGGGGAGUUGUGCCGGGCGUGCCUGGCGGAGGGCCGGGGUUAAUUCCCUUGGAACAGGGGACCGGAGAGGGUGACAGUCCCGUCUUUCCCCCGGACUCCUCCGCGUGAAGGCCGUCCAACGGAGUCGAGUUGCUUGGGAUUGCAGCUCAAAGCCGGUGGUAAAUUCCAUCGAAGGCUAAAUACGGGAGGGAGACCGAUAGCGAACAAGUACUGUGAAGGAAAGAUGAAAAGAACUUUGAAAAGAGAGUUAAAGAGUGCCUGAAAUUGCUGAGAGGGAACCAUAGGUAAUCAGUGUGCGUCCUCCGCUAU
rnacentral:rRNA from 1 species